UAGAAGAUGGCCAGUUUGGAUGCAGCAUC
rnacentral:piRNA from 1 species